rnacentral:rRNA from 1 species
UACAGAGGGGGCGAGCGUUAUUCGGACUUACUGGGCGUAAAGGGCGCGUAGGCGGCCUGCUAAGUCAUACGUGAAAUCCCUCGGCUCAACCGGGGAACUGCGUGUGAUACUGGCGGGCUUGAAUUCGGGAGAGGGAUGCGGAAUUCCAGGUGUAGCGGUGAAAUGCGUAGAUAUCUGGAGGAACACCGGUGGCGAAGGCGGCAUCCUGGACCGAGAUUGACGCUGAGGCGCGAAAGCCAGGGGAGCAAACGGG